GCAGCAGCAGCAGCAUCCCCAGCAACCCAGCAACUGUUCCCUGUGAUACAGACGUUGCAGUACCUUGCUGGCUCUGAGGAUCUGGAACAUGAGAGGCAGGCCGUGCGUGAUGAGCUCCUCAGUGUACUCCUCUUCCUCGAUGCAGCUGAACUCUUUCAGAAGACCUUGGAUCAGAGGUCGGCGGUGCUGAUGGAAACAUGUGCGCAGAGACUCCAGCCAAGUGUGCAAAGUCCAUGGGACCCCUGGGAAAUAGUUACGAAAGAAUCUAUCAAAUUCACACAAAAAGACACACAAACAAGGGCUUUAAGUUUGGCCUUUCCAGUUCGGAUCAGGUCAAUCUGAGACUGACUUCUACCUUCCAGCUCUGAACCCUCUGCCAGAAUCUCUUCCAGGGAUAAGACGUCCCCUUUCCCUUUCUCUGUGUCAGACAGCAGCUUACGGAACACAUUUCUAGAGCAAAAGCACAAAAAUACAACAUUUUAUUUCUCUCAUGUCCAAUAUCACCAACAGGGGCAAACAGCAUUUGUAUAACAUACACUUCUGUGUAUCUUCAAAGUAAUAAGGCCAGGACAAUCUGAAAUGAACUGACUCACAGCUUUGACUUGUUAUUGUUGCAUAUAGCUCAGCUUUAAUUAACAUGUAUGGUUAGAUUUACAAGUAACUUUGUUGGAUGGACAAUCUACUAUAUUUGGUGUUAAAUAGUUAUAAGUCACUUGAGAACAUGGGCAAUCAUUUAACGAACUAAACCCAUUUCUUUUCAUGAACAAAAACUUCAAAUAUUCUAUGGUGCAUAUUUAAUAUGUCUGGUCCUCCAUGUGGACCAACUUGGAUUUGUCUUGUUUGGAAAGCUUGAUGCUCUGGUCACCAAUUUUGUCAAAGCCGGAUAAAAAGUCACUUAGUGAGCUAUUUAUGUGAUAGGCCAUGCCAAUUCUUUAAUUAAAUUUACUGGCUAACGUCCCAUAAAAUAUAACUGCCCAACACAAUAUCGCUGGUGUAAUGUUGCCAAAUACAGUUAGACACACUGGCGCUGUGUAAUUGCGUGACACAAACAAAAACUUACUUGGAAAAAUUUGGUCAUGCUCUAUUUUACAGGUCAGCAGCAUUUUAGA